GGCGAAAUCGGGUAGUGGUUAUCUCGUCACGUUUAGGCCGUGAUGCUUAACGGCGCGUGGGUUCAAAUCCCACUUUCGUCA
rnacentral:tRNA from 1 species